GUGCACAUAGGCUGCCAGCGCCUUCAGCGGGUGCAGCAUCACCCUCCCCGGCCGUGGCCAGCGCUACCCGCGGCUGUCGGCUGAGAGCUGGCCAGAGCGUCCUGAUCUCCGCAGCACCAACCCCUGGUAACCGACUGUGCAUCCAGCCCGAGUCAUUCCUGCUGGCGGCCCGCGGCUCCCCCACUUCUUCGAAGGCUCCUCCUCUGGGAUGGAACCAGACCGCCCGGGACAACAGCAGGGACGCCCAGCUGGGGACAUUUCCAGUCAUGGUGCCCUGCGGGACCUUUAAUCAAGCUCUUCCUCAUUCUCAUCAAGCCACGCGGCCAGCCGGAGACGCGGUAAAUGGGGUGGGGGAUCCCGCCCCGCCUUUCGUAAUUAUCCUCUGCGCUGCCCGUUAAUGCUCCACACGCUGGAGGGUUUAAUUGGAAAGGGGACGAGGUGACCGGCUCCUCUCAGAACCUCUUAGGAGCCGUGGGAGCCGGCGGGACAGCAAGCGGGGCCUGGCGCGUCAUCUGACAUCUCUGCUUUCCUCCCCUGCCCCUGAAGCCCGGCUGCAGCCAGUCCCUUGCGCUUGUGGCUGGUGCUUGUCAGCGGCGUCUCCGGGGCCAAACGAUGACAUCCCUCGCAGGCUGGUCAGCCUGGAUGACAGGCAAUUAAGUUCAGAUUUUAAAGCCAGAAAGCAUCGUUGCGCUCAUGUAAUCUGAUCUCCUGCUUCCACUGGGUGUCAAAUCCAAGACCAUCUAAAGCCAGUGCAAUUGCUACAGGCCACCAAAGAGGAGAGUGGACAGAGCAACCGUCCCGCUCGCUGCCCCUGCCUUGCAGAGCCAGUGGUCCCGCCGCUGAGCUGCAGUCAGGGCCGUGGAGAAGAGUUCCAGCGUUCAGCGUAUUGGCCUUGGAAUGAUGAACCCUGGAGCUGGCCCUGCUCAGAUAACCUGAGGUUGAUGCAGCCUCGGGGUGAUCAUUUCAUGACUGACGCUGAGGCCCCAGGCCAGAUACCACAGCAGCAAGGUGCCCUGGCAGUGGGUGCCACAGAAAACCCUUCCCUAAAUCAACCGGUUUGUGACCCUUCGUUGAUAUGUCCUUUGUUUGUCCUUCGGCCCAGGGGCUCUGUGGAGGUCCUACGGCAGAGACCAGGUUCCGGAGUCCCCGAGGGCAGAGCCUGGGGACAGGGAGAGACAUCCCAUCCUGAUCGCUCUACAAGAACUUCCUACUUUAAUGCUAAGUUCCCUUUGGCCCCAUGAAUCCCAGGGUGCGUGUGGGGCUCAAAUACUAUGUAAUGGAAGGUGCACAACAAAUCUCUCCCCCUCCCCCUCUGUCUUUCCAACCCUUCCCCCACAGAGAGACCCCCUUUCUUUCUUUAAGGGGCUAGCAAAAAGUGCCGUGUGGCUGCAGCACGGGAGGAGAGACUAGCCGGGCUCUCCCAGAGGGGUGCCUUGGUUCACAUAAGGAGCCUUCUCCUUCCCGUCCCUACCUUAGGAAGGCAGAAGUUCUUACCUGAGGGUGGAGAGAAUAAGGAAUUGUUCACUCUCCAGCUGGAUCCAGAGACUGAAGCUGUCAGUUACUUCCUGAUAAUUGCUACCAUGAGGCCCCAGCUGUAGCUCAUUUAAGGCAUCAAAGAGGCAGCUCUAACCAGCCAGCAGGAACUGAAUCAGCGUGGGUAAUUCUGCCAUCCAUAAACCCCUCCAGCGGAUCUCUGCCGUUCACCUCGGGUUGGCGUUCCACAGAGGAGACAAAGGGCCUAACUCUCCUCUUACAUACACCGGCCUGACAUCGCCACAACGUCCCAAGCCCUACCACUGAGGUGUGCCGCUGUCAGACGAGGUGUGGGUGACUCUGGCAAGGGAGAGUCUCUGAGCCUGGAGUCCCGUGGGCUCCUGGAGCCUGCUGUGAACAGGGAGGAGUGCCAUGGAAACACCAGAGCCAGACCAGAAUCUGGCUCAGGGGACAGGAUGUGCUCUGAGGUUUGGGACCUAAAUUUUGAAAGUUCGACGAGGUGCCAAUCUGCAGCUGUCGGCACCUAAAGACCUUUCGAAACCUGGCCCUCAGCAACCUCUCUCCAUCUUUGCUUUGUCCCCCCCAGUUAAUAUAUGUUGCCUGGGGAUGCAUUUACGCUCACUGGCUCCGAGCUGUUGCUUUGCAGCUGGGGACAGGGGAUAAACCGAGUGUUAAAAACCACAGAGUGGGACCAAACUGGCCGUGGCAAAAUGGACACUGGUCCAGCCCUCAGUGCAGCAGAAACGCUCUCAGACAAAACAACUGCAAGGAAAUUGAAAGAGAACAAUGAGGAGAACUUCACAGGAUCUUCAUCAAGGAAAAUAAGGACAUGACCAGGCAACAGGGUUUAACUUUCAUCAGCUUAAACUUCUGCAACUUUUGUGUGUGGACACUCCUACAUCGGUUUAGCUUGUGCCUGUACGUUUGCUGGACCCAGAUAAACCGCUAUAAACCAAUGAGGGUUGCAGUGGGGUGGCCUGCCCCUUUAAGGGCAGAAGCCCUAGAGCAGGCCUGCCCUGUACAACUGGGCCCGCUUGCCACGCCUGGGCUGGGGUGAGAGGUGUAAGUGACAGUGGGUUUGCAGGAACUGAUUCUCCGACAAAAAGCAGCAGGAUGUAGGGAGGGCCGAUGCUUAGGAUCUCCCUCGCUCUUUCUCUCACGCUACAGAGUCUGCUGGGAGUGAGUGGAUGCCAGCAGGGAACCCUGAGCUUCCAGGGAAAAGGGCUCCAGGCAGAGAAGCCCUGGAGACACCCAGCGGGAAAGAGACUGGGAGUGUGAACAUGAUGGGGAUUUCUGAGAACUUUACUUGGGGAAUGAUUGUUCAGUGUUAAUAAAUCCAGCCCCAAGAAGGGAUGUGCUGCACCUGA